rnacentral:rRNA from 1 species
GCGUGGGAACAUACCCAACACUACGGAAUAGCCUCGGGAAACUGAGAGUAAUACCGUAUACGCCCUUCGGGGAAGAUUUAUCGGUGAUGGAUUGGCCCGCGUUAGAUUAGAUAGUCGGUGGGGUAAUGGCCUACCAAGUCUACGAUCUAUAGCUGGUUUGAGAGGAUGAUCAGCAACACUGGGACUGAGACACGGCCCAGACUCCUACGGGAGGCAGCAGUGGGGAAUAUUGGGCAAUGGGCGAAAGCCUGACCCAGCCACGCCGCGUGAGUGAUGAAGGCCUUCGGGUCGUAAAGCUCU